rnacentral:misc_RNA from 1 species
GAUGAAGAACGUAGCGAAAUGCGAUACUUGGUGUGAAUUGCAGAAUCCCGUGAACCAUCGAGUCUUUGAACGCAAGUUGCGCCCGAAGCCACUAGGCCGAGGGCACGCCUGCCUGGGCGUCACACGCCGUUGCCCCCCCAUCUACUCCUUCGGGAUUGCGGGGGGGCGGAUGAUGGCCUCCCGUGCGCCUAGCCGCGCGGUUGGCAUAAAUACCAAGUCCUCGGCGACGCACGCCACGACAAUCGGUGGUUGCGAAACCUCGGUUGCCCGUCGUGUUCGUUCGUCGCGCAUCGAGGGCUCGAAAAAAUGCUCGGCUCCGGCUGGGCUUUCAACGCGACCCCAGGUCAGGCGGGGUUACCCGCUGAAUUUAAGCAUAUCAAUAAGCGGAGGA